rnacentral:rRNA from 1 species
CCAAGGAGUCUAACAUGUGUGCGAGUCAAUGGGACUCGAAUAAGCCCAAGGGCGUAAUGAAAGCAAAGUCCGGGGGGACCCCCGGACAAGUCGGGAUCCCUGCUCCUCGUGAGUGGGGCGCACCGACGACCCGUCUCGUCCGAUUUAUCGGAGGGGCGGAGUUUGAGCACAUACGUUGGGACCCGAAAGAUGGUGACCUAUGCCCGGACAGGACGAGGCCAGAGGAAACUCUGGUGGAGGUCCGUAGCGGUUCUGACGUGCAAAUCGAUCGUCAGAUCCAGGUAUAGGGGCGAAAGACUCAUCGAACUAUCUA